UCUCCGUUGGUGAACCAGCGGAAGGAUCAUUACCGAGUUUACAACUCCCAAACCCAAUGUGAACCAUACCAAACUGUUGCCUCGGCGGGGUCACGCCCCGGGUGCGUCGCAGCCCCGGAACCAGGCGCCCGCCGGAGGGACCAACCAAACUCUUUCUGUAGUCCCCUCGCGGACGUUAUUUUUACAGCUCUGAGCAAAAAUUCAAAAUGAAUCAAAACUUUCAACAACGGAUCUCUUGGUUCUG
rnacentral:misc_RNA from 1 species